rnacentral:rRNA from 1 species
CCCUUAGAUGUCCUGGGCCGCACGCGCGCUACACUGAGUGUCUGAGAUACGAGUCUGCCUAGCCGGCGAGGCCUAGGUAAUCGCUGAAAGACACAUCAUGCUUGGGAUAGAUUAUUGCAGAUAUUAAUCUUGAACGAGGAAUUCCUAGUAAGCGCAAGUCAACAGCUUGCGUUGAUUACGUCCCUGCCCUUUGUACACACCGCCCGUCGCUACUACUGAUUGGAUGAUCCGGUGAGCUAUUCGGACUUUCGCAUUGUCGAUUUUCGGCUUUACGAGGGAAAGUCUCGCGAACCUUAUCAUCUAGAGGAAGGAGAAGUCGUAACA